rnacentral:rRNA from 1 species
GAUGAACGCUGGCGGCGUGCCUAAUACAUGCAAGUCGAGCGAACAGACGAGGAUCUUGCUCCUCUGACGUUAGCGGCGGACGGGUGAGUAACACGUGGAUAACCUAGCUAUAAGACUGGGAUAACUUCGGGAAACCGGAGCUAAUGCCGGGUAAUAUAUUGAACCGCAUGGUUCAAUAGUGAAAGACGGUUUUGCUGUCACUUAUAGCUGGAUCCGCGCCGCAUUAGCUAGUUGGUAAGGUAACGGCUUCCCAAGGCAACGAUGCGUAGCCGAACUGAGAGGGUGAUCGGCCACACUGGAACUGAGACACGGUCCAGACUCCGACGUGAGGCAGCAGUAGGGAAUCUUCCGCAAUGGGCGAAAGCCUGACGGAGCAACGCCGCGUGAGUGAUGAAGGUCUUCGGAUCGUAUAACUCUGUUAGUAGGGAAGAACAAAUGUGUAAGUAACUAUGCACGUCUUGACGGUACCUAAUCAGAAAGCCACGGCUAACUACGUG